rnacentral:rRNA from 1 species
AGCUGGAUUCGCUAGUAAUCGCGCAUCAGCCACGGCGCGGUGAAUACGUUCCCGGGUCUUGUACACACCGCCCGUCACACCAUGGGAGUCGGAAAUGCCCGAAGUCUGUGACCCAACCUGAGAGGGAGGGAGCAGCCGAAGGCAGGUCUGAUGACUGGGGUGAAGUCGUAACAAGGUAAC